rnacentral:rRNA from 1 species
GAUGAACGCUGGCGGCGUGCCUAAUACAUGCAAGUCGAGCGAACGGACGAGAAGCUUGCUUCUCUGAUGUUAGCGGCGGACGGGUGAGUAACACGUGGAUAACCUACCUAUAAGACUGGGAUAACUUCGGGAAACCGGAGCUAAUACCGGAUAAUAUUUUGAACCGCAUGGUUCAAAAGUGAAAGACGGUCUUGCUGUCACUUAUAGAUGGAUCCGCGCUGCAUUAGCUAGUUGGUAAGGUAGCGGCUUACCAAGGCAACGAUGCAUAGCCGACCUGAGAGGGUGAUCGGCCACACUGGAACUGAGACACGGUCCAGACUCCUACGGGAGGCAGCAGUAGGGAAUCUUCCGCAAUGGGCGAAAGCCUGACGGAGCAACGCCGCGUGAGUGAUGAAGGUCUUCGGAUCGUAAAACUCUGUUAUUAGGGAAGAACAUAUGUGUAAGUAACUGUGCACGUCCUGACGGUACCUAAUCAGAAAGCCACGGCUAACUACGUG